AUGUGUGUUUGCAAACUAGUCCUGGGCUGCGCUCCUCAGCCCCUCGGGAUCCAGGCGUCUGGAUCCGCCUGUCGCCUCUCGCUGGGUCUCCAACCACCACUGCCCAGCCUUGCGUGGGAGGGGUCGGCUACCUGUUUCCCACCGACCCCCAGCUGGCGCCCCACUCUCCCAGGUGGGCUGGGCGGAGCUGCGGUUUCCGGCCCCUUCUGCUCCGCCGGCGCCUUCCCGGGCUCUGGCUUAGGUUGCCUCCCCAGGGGGAACGGAACGGGUAUCUGCGCCCCUUUGCGAGGCUUCAGUCGCUUGGGCUCAGCUGCUGUUGGCAGCGCGGGAGGGCGCUGCGGGGAAGUCCCGGCCGGCCCAGGUGACUCCCGCCGGGCCACCACGCCCCUUUUUCGCGUGGAUGCCUCCUCUUUGAUGCACCCCCAACCCUUCCCAUCCCUAGCGUGUCUUCCCCACUCCUCCUCGUGCUCAUGCACUUCCCCGGGCUCCUCUCGGGCUGUCUGUCCCGGGCUCCACUCGUCCUUCUCGGCUUCUCCCGGUUAUAUAACUCUUCCUCUCGCCGUGUCCUGGUUUCAACUCCACAGACUCCGCCCUGGAACGGCGCGGGGAGGGGCAGGAGAGUUGGGGACCCAGACAGGUUCCGGCUGGCGGCCGGCUGGGCCACGGGGGAUCCCGCAGAUGGGAGACGGAGCCCCGCGGGACCCGGUGCCCCCGCCCCCCACCUGCUGCCCCCCACCCGAGAUCUCGCCCGGGAGAGAGAAGGCACAGUAUCUGCGAGAGGCGUGUCGGGACUCCGUCAGAAAUGUGGGUUGGGAGGUCAGGGCUGGAGGCGGGGAGGAGGAGCCGAGAAGCCCGAGUCCCUGGGGCUGGAGUGGUACUGGGAGUAAAAGAGAUAAAGGCAAGCCGCCUGGGUUCCUUCUUCUUCUCCUUUUUGGGUUCCCAGAAUUCCUAAGGCUAUUUCCCAGGAAGCUUAGCCAAAGGCCCCUUUCCGCCCCUAGGGGUCAAAGGUCUGUGUUAGAGGUGGCCUGGGAUGAUGUCACCAGUGCACGUGCCCUGGGACGGUUGCCAGGCCGGAGGCCUCCUCCCCUUUCCAUUCCGCCUCCCCCUCUCCCUCCCCACCUCUGCCCCGAGUCCGAUUCCAACCCCGUGCCAUCUUUUCCCCCUCUCCCUUCCCUUGGCCGUAGCAGCCUGCAGGUGGGAAACCCUGGCCUGGAGUUUUGUGAGGGGGAGGGGCACGGGUGUGGUGUGGCCCAAAGACUUUGCCCCUUUGCUGGGCUACGGGAACCCGGGGUCACUUUUCCCCAGGUGGGUAUGAGAACUUUCCUUCCCAGCCCCCUCCGCCCCGUGAAGGAGCCUCCCAGCAGUCUUGUCGCUUUCCCACCUGCUGCAUUGCUAAGUGUCCUAUUGCCCCCCUCCCCAUUUUGA
rnacentral:lncRNA from 1 species